rnacentral:rRNA from 1 species
GACGAACGCUGGCGGCGUGCUUAACACAUGCAAGUCGAACGAUGACGCCCGAGCUUGCUCGGUCUGAUUAGUGGCGAACGGGUGAGUAACACGUGAGCAACCUGCCCUUCACUCUGGGAUAACCUCGGGAAAGCGGGGCUAAUACCGGAUAUGAGCUCCUGUCGCAUGGCGGGUGUUGGAAAGUUUGUCGGUGAAGGAUGGGCUCGCGGCCUAUCAGUUUGUUGGUGAGGUAGUGGCUCACCAAGGCGAUGACGGGUAGCCGGCCUGAGAGGGCGACCGGCCACACUGGGACUGAGACACGGCCCAGACUCCUACGGGAGGCAGCAGUGGGGAAUAUUGCAUAAUGGGCGGAAGCCUGAUGCAGCGACGCCGCGUGAGGGAUGACGGCCUUCGGGUUGUAAACCUCUUUCAGCAGGGAAGAAGCGAAAGUGACGGUACCUGCAGAAGAAGCGCCGGCUAACUACGUG